CCUACGGGAGGCAGCAGUGGGGAAUAUUGCGCAAUGGGCGAAAGCCUGACGCAGCGACGCCGCGUGAGGGAUGAAGGUCUUCGGAUCGUAAACCUCUGUCAGCAGGGAAGAACGGUCACUGUGCUAAGCAGCAGUGAAUGGACGGUACCGGCAAAGGAAGCACCGGCUAACGCCGUGCCAGCAGCCGCGGUAAUACGGAGGGUGCGAGCGUUAAUCGGAAUUCCUGGGCGUCAAGCGCGCGUAGGCGGUAUGUCAAGUCAAGGGUGAAAUCCCCGCGCUCAACGGGGGAACGGCCUUUGAAACUGGCAACCUGGAGUGUGUGAGAGGCUAGUGGAAUUCCAGUUGUCGUCG
rnacentral:rRNA from 1 species